rnacentral:rRNA from 1 species
AUGGCUCAGGACGAACGCUGGCGGCAUGCCUAACACAUGCAAGUCGAACGGGGUAGCAAUACCCUAGUGGCGAACGGGUGAGUAACACAUAAGCAAUCUGCCCUUCACAGGGGGAUAACAGCGGGAAACUGCUGCUAAUACCGCAUAAGACCACAGUAUCGCAUGGUACAGGGGUAAAAACGAAUCAGUGGUGAAGGAUGAGCUUAUGUCCCAUUAGCUAGUUGGUGAGAUAACAGCCCACCAAGGCGACGAUGGGUAGCCGACCUGAGAGGGUGAUCGGCCACACUGGAACUGAGACACGGUCCAGACUCCUACGGGAGGCAGCAGUGGGGAAUAUUGGGCAAUGGAGGAAAAACCUCUUACCCAGCAAUGCCGCGUGAGUGAAGAAGGUCUUCGGAUUGUAAAGCUCUUUGAUUGGGGACGAAGAAAGUGACGGUACCCAAAGAACAAGCCCCGGCUAACUACGUGCCAGCAGCCGC